GUGGGGAAUAUUGGACAAUGGGGGGAACCCUGAUCCAGCCAUGCCGCGUGUGUGAAGAAGGCCUUUUGGUUGUAAAGCACUUUAAGCGAGGAGGAGGCUACCGAGAUUAAUACUCUUGGAUAGUGGACGUUACUCGCAGAAUAAGCACCGGCUAACUCUGUGCCAGCAGCCGCGGUAAUACAGAGGGUGCAAGCGUUAAUCGGAUUUACUGGGCGUAAAGCGCGCGUAGGUGGCAAAUUAAUUGAAAUGUGAAAUCCCCGAGCUUAACUUGGGAAUUGCAAUCGAUACUGGUUGGCUAGAGUAUGGGAGAGGAUGGUAGAAGUCCAGGUGUAGCGGUGAAAUGCGUAGAGAUCUGGAGGAAUACCGAUGGCGAAGGCAGCCAUCUGGCCUAAUACUGACACUGAGGUGCGAAAGCAUGGGGAGCAAACAGGAUUAGAUACCCCAGUAGUCC
rnacentral:rRNA from 1 species